AGCCAGGCAAGUAGUCCUGCCCCAGUUCACCUUCAGGGAGAAACCAGAUGGGUCGGGUAAAGCCCGGGUUAGUGCCCCCUCUGCAGCCCUGUGUGACAGCCACCAAGAAGACAAUGUGACAAGCAGGAUCAUCACCAGGGUGCCACAGGAAGUGAAGCCAGUGCAAGGUAACGGCAGCAGGGCCAGACGUGACCUGCACAGGACACGCAUGCAGUUACUAGAGCCAAGCUGAAUUAACAGCCAGCCGUUUUUGCUGUUGGAAACAACUACAGAUGGGACCAAGUGCCAGGGGAUGGAGUCCAGGACCCCGCAGCCCACUCACCCUGGGUGAAGACACAAGGUGCCAGACCCCGAAUCUGCAGGUGCACCGGCCCCC